GUGGGGAAUUUUGGACAAUGGGGGCAACCCUGAUCCAGCCAUGCCGCGUGAGUGAAGAAGGCCUUCGGGUUGUAAAGCUCUUUCGGACAGAAAGAAAUCGCACGAUCUAAUACAUCGUGUGGAUGACGGUACUGUCAUAAGAAGCACCGGCUAACUACGUGCCAGCAGCCGCGGUAAUACGUAGGGUGCGAGCGUUAAUCGGAAUUACUGGGCGUAAAGCGUGCGCAGGCGGUUUUGAAAGACAGGCGUGAAAUCCCCGGGCUCAACCUGGGAACUGCGCUUGUGACUCCAAGACUAGAGUACGGCAGAGGGGGGUAGAAUUCCACGUGUAGCAGUGAAAUGCGUAGAGAUGUGGAGGAAUACCGAUGGCGAAGGCAGCCCCCUGGGCCAGUACUGACGCUCAUGCACGAAAGCGUGGGGAGCAAACAGGAUUAGAUACCCCAGUAGUCC
rnacentral:rRNA from 1 species